UAGGGAAUUUUCGUCAAUGGGGGAAACCCUGAACGAGCAAUGCCGCGUGAGUGAAGAAGGUCUUCGGAUCGUAAAGCUCUGUUGUAAGUGAAGAACGGCUCAUAGAGGAAAUGCUAUGGGAGUGACGGUAGCUUACCAGAAAGCCACGGCUAACUACGUGCCAGCAGCCGCGGUAAUACGUAGGUGGCAAGCGUUAUCCGGAAUCAUUGGGCGUAAAGGGUGCGUAGGUGGCGUACUAAGUCUGUAGUAAAAGGCAAUGGCUCAACCAUUGUAAGCUAUGGAAACUGGUAUGCUGGAGUGCAGAAGAGGGCGAUGGAAUUCCAUGUGUAGCGGUAAAAUGCGUAGAUAUAUGGAGGAACACCAGUGGCGAAGGCGGUCGCCUGGUCUGUAACUGACACUGAGGCACGAAAGCGUGGGGAGCAAAUAGG
rnacentral:rRNA from 3 species